GGCUUGUGACUUUCAUUCUUUUAGUUUGUUUAGUGGCAUUUUUAUAUAUAUCCACUUUCAAAUUGCCUGUAUAAGUUAGUAAAUUUCCAAAGUACAGCCUUUUCAUUUCUCCAUAAAAUAUUUUUCCUUUUGAAUAUUGAUCACUUCUUCUUUCACUAAACCGAAUUGCCCGUACGAAAGAAGUAGCUGCUGCUUAUUUAUUGCAAUUUAAUUAAUUUAUGUAAGGUGUAUACCAAUUUACUUGUAACGAUCCAAUUGGCAUUGCUUCUUAAUUAAUGCGUGAAUGCGAUGGAAUGAUAGAUCAUGAAUUUUAUGUGUUAGUUGAAGGCUGGUAGUUGUUUGUUUUUUCUUUUUCUUUUUUGUAAUAACACGCUCUUUCUU
rnacentral:lncRNA from 1 species